UUUAAUCAAACUAACAAAAAGUUAUAAGUAUACAACUUAAUUUUAAAUGUGUUACACUCAUUAGUAUUUAUAUAUUUACCUUAUUCUUUAUUUACACAAACACCCUUAUAGGUGAUUUUGUAUUCUUGCAUUCUUCACAUUCCCCUUCAAAGAGAAUAAUUCUGAAUUGGAAGUCGGAAUUAUGCACUUUGAAACUUUAAUAAUGCAUUUAUUCUUUUUAAUCGUGUUUAGCUUGAAUUGACUCCUUUCCUUCCCUUUCUUUGGUUGUGCUUUCCAUUUCUAGUAACCUGUAUCGAUCAUGCUUAUCCUAAUUAGCAAUUAUUCACAUAUGCUAAAAAUAAAACUAAUAAUUGAGGUUACUUAGCUUCGAAAGAUGACACAUAUCCCUAUGACAGAACAUGCGUGUAGCUCAGAUUUGGUUGCUUAUUAAUUGAGAACCAGGUGGGAUCCAUAUUUUUGCUCCUCUUUUAAUUUAUUUUCCUGGAAAAACCUUUCUACCAGGUCAAGUAACUAGUGUUUCAGGCCAAAUAUUUCCCUUUCCAUUAGUCAUGUUCCUGAC
rnacentral:lncRNA from 1 species